AGAACACGCCCUCUUUGGGCGUUUCCUCCCUAGACUUAAGACCGCGCGCUCGUUCGCUGCGGUCUUUUUUUUGUCUGCA
rnacentral:sRNA from 1 species